rnacentral:pre_miRNA from 7 species
AUCUAUAGGGUUGCAGAUCCCUUUAGUGAAAGACCCCCGAAGGGAGACCCUCACUCAAGCCUCGGGACAGCUGCGGACCCAAGAAGACACUGAGACCG